UACGUAGGGUGCAAGCGUUGUCCGGAAUUAUUGGGCGUAAAGAGCUCGUAGGCGGUCUGUCGCGUCUGCUGUGAAAACUCGGGGCUUAACCCCGGGCCUGCAGUGGGUACGGGCAGACUAGAGUGCGGUAGGGGAGACUGGAAUUCCUGGUGUAGCGGUGAAAUGCGCAGAUAUCAGGAGGAACACCGGUGGCGGAGGCGGGUCUCUGGGCCGUAACUGACGCUGAGGAGCGAAAGCAUGGGGAGCGAACAGG
rnacentral:rRNA from 1 species